UGUAGCCUACGGGGCGCAGCAGUGAGGAAUAUUGGUCAAUGGCCGGAAGGCUGAACCAGCCAAGCCGCGUGAAGGACGAAGGUGCCAAGCAUUGUAAACUUCUUUUGUCAAGGGACAAAAUCAGGCUCGAGAGCCUGACCGAGGGUACUUGAAGAAAAGGCAUCGGCUAACUCCGUGCCAGCAGCCGCGGUAAUACGUAGGUGGCAAGCGUUAUCCGGAUUUAUUGGGCGUAAAGGGAACGCAGGCGGUCUUUUAAGUCUGAUGUGAAAGCCUUCGGCUUAACCGGAGUAGUGCAUUGGAAACUG
rnacentral:rRNA from 1 species